rnacentral:rRNA from 1 species
UGUUAGAGCCAUAUCUCCCUGCAGUUCUUGCCUGGUUUCUUGCUGAAGCUAAGCAGGGCUGAAUGUGGACAGUACCUGGAUGGGAGACCUCCGGGGGGGAACAAAGGUUUAGAAG